GAGAUGGUCUCCUGGUAGCCCUUGGUGAAGAACUGCAUGGCCGAGGCCGCCCUCCAGGGCGUCUUGAGCAGCCCUUGCCGCUGGGGGUUCUCGCCCAGCGAGCUCAGGAUGGACGAGUAGGCGGCUGCCAGGUUAGGGAGGUUCAGCUCGUUAUCCUCCUCGCUGCGGGGCCGCUCGCCCUUCCAGCCGUCCGCGGGCUGCGCGCUCUUGGCCUCGGGCCGCGGGGGCUUCUCCGCCGGCCUGCUGGGCCCGGGCCGCGGCGGAUCCCGCUCGGGGAACCCAUUGCUGCACCUGGCGCCCCGCGGCUUCUCCGCCGGUGCCCGCACAGGGCCCUUCUCCAUGGACCCGCCGCAGCCGCUGCCGUUCGGGAAGGACCCCGGGGCGCUUCGAGGUCUGCGGCUAAACUCCGCCGGUGGCCGCGGACAAUGGGCUGUGGCCGGAGUCACCUGAGGAAGGUACGCAACCUGCUUAGAUCACACUCCGAGCCGGGAGCGGCCACAGGCUGGAAAGCCCGGCCGCGCCUCCUUUUUAUGGCCCGGCGGCUCAGCCUGCGCCGCGGAGCGCUCCCAUUGGCCGGCCCCGCCUCGCGUCACGGCCCUCGCCGCGCCCCUCGGCCUCCCGCCCCCGGGGUCCCCAGCAGGGGUCGCGGCUCCGGAGACGCCCGGAGGGGUUCGCAAGCGCAGGGAGGGAAGGAAAAGGGCGCCGGCCCCUAGGAUCAGGCGGGACCCCUCCACUUAUUGCGGAAUGAGCCGAACCCGAAAAGAGGCAGUCGUCCAGGAGCUGGGAUCUCAGUGAGAAAGACGCGGUCUGGGCGCCCAGUCGCCCCCUCUUCAGGCCAAGAGGGCGCUGCAUUGAAGGGCUCCGGUCCCCUCGCCCUGUGAAAGAUCAGCAAACAGGUGGCCUUGCCUGGAGAGAGACCGAGUUAAGCCACCGAUUAGGAACCAACUCUUAAGCUUUCAAGGCAAGAGAAUAAUGUGACUUCAGACUCUUGGGUUUAGUUAAAAACGCACCUGCCACCUAGGGGCCAGGUGGCACCGCUGUCGGGGCAAGUGUCACAUCAAGUGGCCCUUAUGUGGGUCCCUAUGUCUAGAAGGAUAGGAUUUAUGGUUGCUAGAACUUUGAUCCUGGAAAAAUUGAUUUGCAAACGAAGAUAGGACUUUCACUUAAAAUCCAUUUCCGUCGGUGGCUCACGCCUGUACUCCCGGCGCUUGGGGAGACCGAGGCGGGAGGAUCGCUUGAGGCCAAGAGUUCGAGACCAGCCUGGAAAACAUAGCAAGACCUCAUCUCUAUAAAACCCAUCGCAUUUUCUAGAAACGCAGUUGUGCAGAUUUGGUGCUCAAUUGUUUUACAGUUCCAUGCAAAGCGUCUUUCCCCAGAUGUUGGUACAAAUUGUGAAAUGCUAUUCACCAACUGAACUCUUAACCAGUGACAUCUGCUGUAACUGUUUUCUUUGAGAUUAAUAAAUGGACCUUUUUCCUCACUUGAGGGAUUAUCUCAUAAUGCCGAAGGCAGGACUCUAAUCAUCUCCCGCCUUUCUGAUUACGGAUCAUAAACCCUCAUUGCAAACAGGGUCCUGCCUCAUACCCUGGAGGAAGCAUGGCUGCACAGAGAGGUCAAUCACACCUUGACACGGCUGUCCAUGCUUCAAUCAUGCCUAUACAACGAACAUAAAAGGCCCAGACGGCAGGGCUCAGGGAGGUUUUGGACAGCUGAAUAUGUGGAGGUUCCUGGAGGGUGGUGUGCCCAGGGAGGGCAUGGAAACUCCAUACCUCUUACCCCAUACCUCACCCUAUGCAUCUUUUCAUCUGUAUCUUUUGUAAUAUCCUUCAUAAUAAACUGGUAAACGUAAGUGUUUCCCUGAGUUCUUUGAGUCACUCUAGCAAAUUAAUUGAACCCAAAGAGGGGGUUGUGGAAACCCCAACUUGAAGCCAGUCAAUCAAAAGUUCCAGAGGCCCAGACUUGUGAGUGGUGGAAAGGAGGGGCCAGUGUUGGGGACUGAGCCUUCAACUUGUGGGAUCUACAGCUAUCUCCAG
rnacentral:lncRNA from 10 species